AUGACAUAUUCUGGCCUUCCAGGGUGUGGUGGGAAAAGGACUUUGGUGCCAGUGGAUGGUAGCCUGGAGUGUUCCACAGGAACAAAAAAAGCAGGAUUGCUGUGCAUAAUGACAACCUUUGACUGGAUCAGAAUGGGACUCAGGUCCCUGGAGCUCACAGGGUAUCAGAAAGAGCACUGGGCUGGGAGUCAGAAGAUCUAUGUUCUAGUCUUGGCUCUGCUGCUUACUGGUGAGUUUCUCAACCUUUUUGGUUUCCCCACUUAAAACUUUAAGGAAGUAAGAGUGAGUGACUGGAUACAAUUUCCCUAGUCCAAGAAUUGUGGUAUUGUGGUAUAAACACCCCUAAGUGAGCAGUCUCCUUGUUAACGUCCCACACAGGGCUGUAACUCACUCACAAUUGUAUUGAGGCUAUAAACUGAAAGAGCUCCUCUUGAAGAAUUUAUGAGAGGUCUGAAAGCUCUAUAUUUGCUCUAGAGACAUCUAUUGUUUGUUUAUAAUGUGUGCAUGUUUAAUUUGCAAUAAAACUGGGAGGCACUACUGUACAAAUAGGCAGCUUAUCUACCCUCAAUUGCUGUCUCAGAAGAAGGAAGAUGGGAGAGGGGGAAUUCAGGGAAAAAAAAAUCAAUCACUUUGGCCUGUAAGUGGAAAGAUUUUGAAGGGCUGUCCUGUUGUGCCUGUGGUUGGGUGACCCUCUUCCUGGGGUUUCUGAAUGUCUUCAUAUUCCCAAUAUUCCCGUACCAGGUAGGAUUCCACACUCCUGAAUCCUCCCCGAGGUGAUUCUUCCCUAGAUGUGGGGUAUAUAGGUAAGUGAUGGGGACUCAGACCAGUGAUCCUAAGCAUACUUCAUGUCCUGAUGGCUGUCUGAGGACAGAAAUUGGGGAAAUGGGAGUUUGGGUAAAACUGAUACCACCCUGGUAGGGGAAGGAAGUCUGGGUAGGAUAUAUAGGUCUCAUGCCUAUUGUCUCUGCAUCUGGGAGGUCCUGACAAAACCAGAUGCAGUUGAAUUAGAACACUAAUUCAACUGCAUCUGGAAUCACUAGGGUCGUGAGGAAGGAGUGGCUCACUCUUAUGGGGGUGUCCCAGGAAGACUGAGCAAAGGAAAGAUGAGCCCAUUUAAUUCCUACAGGGAUUCUCCUGCUAAGGGUUCAGUGGGGCUGUGGGCGAUGAUUUAUUCCACUGGCUGCCCACCAUCAUGAGUCUGAAUGAUAGUCCUUACUUAUCAAGGAGGCAUUUUCCUCCAUGACCAUACACUUUUCUUACAGGUUUCUCUUUCAAGCCACCAAAAUUUAUCUUCUUGAUAUACAGCAAUGAUAGCAUCUACCUCGAUACCCAGCAGUUUCAGUAGUCUCCAAUAUUAACAGUGUCAAAAAUCACUUAUCUCUCUGUUUUCUGCUCUGCAAUCCCAACUCCUAUGAUCCCCUGGUGACAGGGAUAGUCCACACUCACAAAGCUGAUGGAGAGGAUUAGGUGCCCUCUUCAGGUUGCCUUUGUAUCAUGGCUUCCUGAGAUAGCCCUAGAUGGUACAAUAGAUUAGCAAGAGCGGACACAGAAACGUGCUGUGCAAACGCCUUGGGGGUUUUCCAGGGAAAGGUUGUCCAAGAGAAAUUACUCAGGCAAAGUCCCUUGCCUAAAACUCUGGGCUGGUGGUAAUUUGCCUUAUGCAAUGAACUAUUCACAAAAAGGUAUCUGCUUUGUGAGCAAAUGUUGGUUUGUCCACUUUCUCUAGUUUUGGCAGGUUGGUGACACUCUCAAUCAUUGCAGUUUUUAUUAUUUUACUAUUUAUUUAUUUAUGGUUUUUUAUUUUUAUUAUUAUUAUUUUUUAAUAAUAAAUUUAUUUUUUAUUGGUGUUCAAUUUGCCCACAUACAGAAUAACACCCAGUGCUCAUCCUGUCAAGUGCCCCCCUCAGUGCCCGUCACCCAUUAACCCCGACCCCCACCCUCCUCCCCUUCCACCACCCCUAUAUUUAUGGUUUUUUAAAUCUGUUAUUUAAACUCAGUUUAGUUAACAUGUACUGCAUUACAGUUGUUUUUUUUUAAUUGUAGUAAAAUACACAUAACAUAAAAUUUACUAUCUUCACCAUUUUAGACGUAUAGCUCAGUACUGUUAGUUGCAUUCGUACUGCUAUACAAUCAAUCUCCAGAACUCUUUUCAUCUUGCAAAACUGAAACUUUAUCUUUUAAACAACAAUCCUCAAUUACCCUCUCUUCCCAGCCCCUGACAACCACCAUUUAUUUUCUGUUUCUAUGAAUUUGACUAUUCUAGGUAUCUUAUAUAAGAGGAAUCAUACAGCAUUUGUCUUUUUGUGUUGGCUUAGCAUUGUGUCCUCAAAGUUCAUUUGUAUUGUAGUUAUGUACAAGAAUCUCGCUCCUUGUUCAGGUGGAGUGAUGUUUUAUUGUGUGUGCGUGUGUGAGUGUGUGUGUGUGUGUGUGUGGUUGUGUACCAUAUUUGUUUAUUACUUCAACUGCUGACAGACAUUUGGCUUUUUUUUUUUUUUUUUUUUACCUUUUGGCUAUUGUGAAUAAAGCUGCUAUGAAUAUGGGUGUGUAAAUACGUCUUUUAGAAUUUGCUUUCAAUUCUUUUGGAUAUAUACCCAGAAGUGGAAUUGCUGGAUCCUAGGGUAAUUCUAUUUUUAAUUUUUAAGGAACAACUACACUGUUUUCCAGAGCACCUGCACCAUAUUACGUUUCCACCAGCAGAUUUUAAGAGUUCCGACUUGUCCACAUCUUCACCUUGUUAUUUUCUGUUUUCUAAAAUAAUAGUCACCCCAAUGGAUGUGAGGUGGUAUCAUGUUGCAGUUUUGAAUUACAUUUCUCUAGUGAUUAGUGAGGUCGAGCAUCUUGGCCAUUGUGGUUUUGAUUUCACUUAUUUGCUGCCACAAUGCGUAGCGACUCUUAACGCUACAGAGCCUUCCUGAUGACGGUUGAAAUUCAGUCCUUCCACCACACUCAUCUGCUUGUCCUUCAGUCCAGGGACCUUCUGUGCCUCUCUUUUCUGGCCUCAUGAGAGGGGCACUUCCUUGCCCUUGGUAUCACAUUUCUUCCUGUUUGCCUUUUAGAACAAAAUGCC
rnacentral:lncRNA from 1 species